UCAAAUAUUUACAUAUGAACAGGAAAUCAAAUAGAUUUAUUGGUUAUCGCACAGGGUACAUUGCCAUUGGGCCCAUUCUUGUGGAACAUGUACCAUCUGGGCUGCUGUUAGGCACAUGUCAUGGAACCACCUUACACAUGAGUCACACUGGGUCUACAAAGAUAAACUAAUUUAAUAUCUCAUAUUGGUGAUGUGAUUUUUUUGGUGCAUAUUGUAAACGACAAAAUGAAAAUAAAAUCACAGAUUUCUUUCUAUUCUCCAAUACACAUUCCAGCAUUUAAAUGUUUGUGUGGUUGGAUUUCAGGCACCUACACAGUCAAUUACUUCUGUCUCAAUGUCUGUGUCUCUUGGAAAAUCCCGCAAGCCACACAUUGAACAGUAGUCUUUCUCUACAAAAAGAACAACAUUGAUUUACGUAGUGAUUUAAAAUUGACUCCCACACUGCAUUACUGAAGGGGAGAACCUCAAUAACCAAGUACCAGCAUGCAGCAGCUUCUGAGUUACAUAUAGCAGUCAGUUAAAAACAUUUAUACAGCGGAAUUAAGCAAUUGAUAACCCUAAUAAUUGUAUGUAUAUACCUGAUGCGGACAGAAGCUCCUCUGCCAUCUCUGCCCGGAGACAACCUAUGGCGAGUUCUUCAUGUUGAAUGAAGGAAUCGCCGGAAAAGACUGGAUUGCCUCUUUAGCCAUCUGAUAUGACAUGUCAAAAUAACAUGCGUUACUGGAUUGUAGUCAAGUACUUGUCAAGCGUACUUAGGGAUGUUCUGAAUCUUCUUGUAAAACCUGCAUUACAAAUACCCCGCAGCUUGUUGAGUCCUGUUGGACUGGGUGUGGAAUUGUUGCGGUUUUCCACUUGAGGCUGCCCUCCACCUGUUUGCCGUAAAGGUUUUGCCGCAUCUGAAAGUAGCGGCUGGAAGACACAAUGCAAUGCACCAAUGUCUAAUUUUCUGUAGUCUCAGAACUCUGGCAUGUAUGCAGAUAUUGUCGUGGAUUUCCAUUAACGACUUAUCUAAUUCACUUCAACUAGCUAUACGCAAGAGGAAUCGGAGAAUCCGGGUCAAGUAUAGAGGGAGAGUUUAUUGUAACCCGCAAACGAGAGACAACAAAGCCAAGUGAUAUUUGUUAAGACACUGCUGAGUGAUCCGAUCCCGGUCUUUCUUAUACUUUCAAACUGAGCUGUGUUGCAAAUCAUAUGACUGCCCUCGGUACAUGCUCAGAAUUGCCUUAUUGAUAAGGACGGUCAGCCAUACAUUCCUUUAAGCAUGUGGUCAUCGCCUGCAGUCAAUCUAAACGAUGGGAAGACGUCAAUACGCCUUAGCCCCAGACUGCCUGGCUCUGUAUGAGGCCCAGCUCUGAGUCCAGAGGUGGUUUCUCUGCUUUCCAUCAUUAAAUAUUUAGGCUUAAUAAUAAUCAUGGUUUACCUUAGAAUAUAAUCAUUAAUUUCUACCACAAAAUCAUGACAGUAUCAUCCAGAUACUGUUGAAACAUGAGUCAUGAUGUCCAAGUUUGUGCUAAUUUCUGACGACUUUACAGGUCUAGAACCAUUUGACAAAGUUUAUUUCUGAAUCGAAAAGUAUGUUGAACUGUGACACAUCACAUCUAUUUCAGUUUGCGUUUGUAUUUUGGUUAAUUUAUUUCCACCCACAAUUGAAAUGAUGCUUCACUGGUAGUCGGACAGUUAAGUUAUAUUUUGCAUUAUUUUCUUACUUGUAGGAUUGAACAGCAGUUGUGUAGAGGUGAAGAUCUUGUUCUGCAGCAGCAGGAUCCCUCACAGAUAUACUCUUUAAAGGCGCAUGAAGAUACUGGGGAAACAUAAGGAAAAAGCAGGAGCACAUUACGAAAUCCACAAUUAUCCUCUGCUAACGUUCUUUUUGUUGUUGUAGCCUACUCACCACGAACCGCCAGUGGUUGUUAUUUACAUUCACAAAUGACACAGCAGCGUCAAAGGUAUCCAGGUUCAUCUGUGUAAAAAUGAGCACAACAGCAUGAGGCAUACUAUGAUAUGUUACUGUUUUUAUAGUGAAUUCAUUUUGUUGGUCAAAUUGGCAGUAAGCAUCAAUCAACACGUGUUACGGUGGCCUUACUUUUCGCAUUAGGUGUCGACUCAUUUGCUCCCUUGAACCCCCAAGAAUUACACCAUUUGAGUAAUGGUCUAUUGGAAAGCUUCGAUGAGCAGGAUCAUGCUGUUUAAGGGUAGCUCGCAUGUAAGCUUCGAUGACCUGUAAGCAUAGGCGUAGAUUACGGGGGGGACAUGUCCCCCCCACUAUUUAAAAUAGGAAUUUGUCCCCACCACUUUUAAAAAUGUGCAAACCAAAUGCGACCGAAAAAAUCCCCACAUACUCAACCGAAAUCGUCGACUCUAAAUCAUGCGAUAGGCGCGCACGGAGACAUCCUCACAGCAUGCACACCUGCCAUCUAGUGGUAAAUCCGCAGAUUGCAAACAUGUGAAAAACGCAAUUUGGUAUUGUAGUGUCGGCCAAGAAGAACACAGUCAGGUUUAAAGAAAAGGUAAUUAACCGUCCCAUACACCACAUGACUGCAGAACCUUUAUUUUAACAAUGUCACACAGCGCACGCACACCCAACCAACGGACAUGCAACUCUGGGUAACGGUUGCCGGCAACACUACACACAAUAAACAUCACCCCACAACACAUAACUACAUUCAACCGAACACACAACCCAAACCCGUUAACCCCAACACCCAAAGGCAAUAAAACCCCUUUUCCCCAACCGACAUCAUGAACAUCCAGACUCCCCGGGGGGUAGGAGUCGCCACAGUAUCUAGUCGUUUGAUUUGUCGACUGUCAGCCACUUUAGAAACAUGGCGUUGUAAAAUGACAGCGGAGUCGAUGCAUUCCCAUGGUGGCGCAUUCCGAUCGAACAUUGUGACCUGAGAGAACGUGAACUUGGAAGGCUAGCUUUCCUAGCCUAGCUUUUAUGACUUUUAGUACUAGUGAAGGCUGACGCAAUAUCAUGGAAUUAACUUCCGAUGUAUAUGGAACACUAGAAACCAUCGCUACUGUACAAAAGGUAUUCCACUCAACCAAUAAAAGUGGAAGACAGAAAUUUGUAGUAGCCAAAGCAUAGAGUGUAGCUAAAGCCGUUAUGUAGCUGACUGCAGUGUUACUGCUAGCUAACCGUUAACGUUAGCAAUAGAUGAGAACUAGCAGUUAACUGAGUUAAUAUCAAACAUCGUAAAACAAGGUGAUUUGUAGGUUUCUCUGCACUUACAGCGCAUUUUUGCCUGCUGAAAAAGGAUCUUAUAUCGGUUCCAGCUUUUCUCUUAGACAUUAUGGAUCAAGCUAAAUAGCCUUGCGACUUAAGCCUUUUUUUGUUGCUUGUAUAAUUUGUUAAAUUAUAUUUAAUGUCAUCGCAAGGGGGAGGGGGAGGAGGGUGAACGUGUGCUGUCUGUACACAGCGUUAUAAUUGAGAAGUUUCAAGACAGAAAGACAAAAUUGACAUUUUUAUUCAGAUAAUAAUAAUAAUAAUAAUACUACAUUUAAUUUAGAGGCGCCUUUCAAGGCACUCAAGGUCACCUUACAGAGCAUAAAGUUAUAAUAAAUAGUUUAAAAACAAGACAUUGUGGAAAAAUAAUAAUAAUAAAUAAUUAAAUCAAAAACAAACAAACAAUCAAGACAGUGAUCAGUUAGACGUUGUGUGCGAGUUUGAACAGGUGAGUUUUGAGUUGUGACUUGAAGGUUGUAAUGGUGUCUGACUGUUUUAUGUGUGGGGGGAGGGAGUUCCAGAGCCUGGGUGCUGAACAGCUGAAUGACCGGGCACCCAUUGUAAUAAGUCGUGAUGUGGGGAUACAUAGUAGUCCAGCACAGGUUGAGCGGAGGGAGCGGGAGGGAAUGUAUUCUUGGAGGAGGUCGCAGAGGUAACUGGGGGCUAGGUUGUGGAGAGCUUUGUAGGUGAGGAGUAGGGUUUUGUAUUGGAUGCGGUAGUGUACUGGGAGCCAGUGAAGUUGGAUGAGGACAGGGGUGAUGUGGUCAGAUGAUUUGGUGCGGGUGAUGAUCCGGGCGGCUGAGUUCUGAAUGAUCUGCAGUCUGUUGAUGAGUUUGGUGGGGAGUCCGGUGAGUAGGGCGUUGCAGUAGUCUGCGUGAUGUGACAAAUGAGUGAACUAGGAUUUCAGUGCUGGAUUGGGUCAGUGAUGGGCGGAGUCUGGCGAUGUUGCGGAGGUGGAAGAAUGCAGUCCGGGUGAUGUUGUGAAUAUGGGGUGCGAAUGAGAGGGUGUUGUCCAGGAUGACGCCGAGGCUCUUGACUUUGGAGGAGAAGGGCACUGGGAAUCCAUCGAUGAUUAUGAGUGGAGCUGGGGUGUGUUGUGAUUUGGUGAGGGUGGAUUUGGAGCCGAUGAGCAGGGCCUCGGUCUUGGCCGAGUCCUUUUGCUUCCUGUAAAAAUCAUGAUUGUGACACUGGAUAACGAUAUGGAUACAUCAUCUAGCCUUCAUGUGGAGGGCCCAUAAGGUAUCCUGGCUGUGCAGGAUCGACUGAAUAAAACGGAAUAUAACUAAACAAACUGAAUAAGCCUAAUCGUCUGAUAAAAUGGAGACGUAUGUGCUGUUCAGAGGGAACAAGAGAAUUACACUUAAAAUGGAUGAUGUACGUGUCGACAGGAUCGCCACAUUUUCCAGGUCAGCAUGGAUAGCCUGUAUGUCACUGAUGCGGCCAACGUUGCAAUUUUUCCAAUCGAGAGUGGGUGCUUUAGCUCCCUGGACCUGUGUAACCUUGGUCAUUAUGAAGUUCAUGGAGAAGUUGGGGACACUGUAGGGACCCCGACAGCCCAAGCCGCAGCUCCUUUGUGGCAAUUUGCUUUUCGCAGUAGUCAGCCUGUGACAACUGAAAAUACGAGCAUGCUGUCGAUCAGUGAGGACGCCUCUGUCGUUUCAAAGGCAAGGAUGCAUUGGUGUCAUAAUCUAAUGUGCUUAUUUAAAUGGUAAAAGUUAACUAAUUUACAAUCUCCUUUUAGUAAGCAAAAAGAGCAUACUGGUUGUAAGCGACUUCUAAAUCACAAGGUACUGAGCCUUGCGCUUUAAAGUUGUUAGAAUACCUAAUGUACAAUCAAUAUCCACAUAGCUUCAGAUUCUGAACAAUAAUCAGAUGAGGUACUCGGAGUCUAAAGUUCAAUAUUACUGUGAGCACUAGCUAUUGGAUGUAAAACUCCCUAUUUAUGAGAGAAGGUGCAGUAGUGACAGAUGAUCUGGGUAUGCUGCAGGUGUGUUUGAUUGUGAUGUGCCUCAAGUGUGGGUUGAGCUAAUAUUCAAGUCAGCAUGUGUGGUGCAUUCAGAGUUUUACAUGGGCUAACACUUUGGUCCGUUGGGACAACUGAAUCACUGUAGUGUAGACUGCAUGUUGUUAUGUGGUAGCUUGGUUUUGUUCACUGUUUGUUUAUGUAUUAUAGGUCCAUUCAAGUGUCAGAAGUAUUCGAGGGGAAGCUUGUAUCAACAAGGGUGGUUAUAGUGAGAUUCAAUGAAGCAGAGGCAAGUGUAUCUGCCAUCCUGGAGAAACUGAAGGUGGCCAUGGGAGACGAUGACGACUACAUCCUUACCGACACACUGCAAUGAAAUUGUGGAGUCAGAAGGGACAACUGGGUCUUUGUACUGGAGGCAGAAUUCCCGAAAAAUCCAUGCCAUUGAGAGUGCCGCAUUCCGGCAAUGGCGUCGACGACGAUCAAGUAGCAGAAAUGACCAUGUCCAAACACUGAGGGACAAUGUGGAGGAACUGCUGGAGGCAUCCUAAGGGCUGGAUGAAGUUACAAAGAAAAUAACUGACUUGGUGACCUUCAGCCGUGGUUUGUCAGCAGUUUGGCCUGAAUUCAAACAGGCAUUCAUCUGUUUGAUUUGCAGAGGUACUGUUUUCAUUCUUCAUGUUUGAAUAUUGCUCAAUGUAACGCAGAAGUAAUCUAACGUAGUAUUACAAUUAGUAAUGAGCAAUUGUUUAUUUGUCUUUAAGUGACAAUUAAGGAUUUAGACAAAGGAAAAAACACUUGAAAACAGAAAUGACUUCAGGCAGUAAUACAGUGAGAGUCGAGAAUUCAGACAUUUUAUUCAAGAAAUAUUGCUUUAAAGAAACUCUUAUUCUGUUCAACCAGAACCCUUGGUCUUUUUCUGUUGGAACGUAACAACCUAUAUGAUCUUUUCAAAUUUGAAUGGUCAUCAGUAAUCAGACUUUAUUGUGUGUUAACUUCACGGGUGUCAAAAGUACACUUUCAAUAAUUAAAGGUUGGGUAUGGGAUUUGCGGAACGCCAGCAGAUUUUGAAAACACACAACUCAAAUGGUCCUACCCCCUCUCCUUCAACGCUGACUCUGUCGCCACCCAUUCCAAGAACAUGGACGCGCAAUCAUGCACGAGCGCGAACACAGAUGCACAAGCCAGGCUAGCUAGGUUGGUGUUUAGGGUUGUCUUCUAGUGCUAGAUCCAAAUGUGGAUUAGCUAGCUCCAGUAGCUACCGCAGGAUAACUAUAAACAGAAGCUUGCUCUGGGUCACAAGCUUUGAGUACGUGCAUGAAGGGGUCACGAAGGGGAGGGGGAGUGCAGUUUGACCAUUUGAUUGACGUACUUACUGUCCAAUGCCGCUCGGUGGUUCAGGAAAUCAUUGGCUGUUUUUCGAGCCCUGCCCGUUCCACAGAUUUGUUUAAUUUUCAUGUCAGUACUUCUAAGUCAGUGGCUGUAAUUGGGUUAUGAUAAGGUUUAAGUAAUUUUGCAAAAAUGGCCAAAAAAUAGAAUUCCAUACUAGGGGUGUGCAUUGGCACUGCCCUCACGAUUCGAUUACGAUUCACCAGGUAACGAUUCGAUUCUACGAUGCAUUGCGAUGUAUCAAAAUUCUACUGCAUACAAUAAGGCAAAUUUUUUCACCUUCCACUCCCAAACCUACUGCAAUUAAAUGCCAGGCUUUGUCCUUUCUGACAUUGUCCUUAUAAAAAGGAUGAUAUAUUUCAUAAAUUAUUUUAUGUUGCUCGACUUCGACAAUCAGUCCCUCAUCGUCCAUGUUAUCGACCCUCUGAGACCCUUUAAUUAAUUGACUGAGUGCUGACCUGGUGCCACCGGUUAUGUUGAUGUGAAGUUGUGAUAGGCUGCAUGAGCUGAGUAUUGUGUUUUAUUUUGAAAAUUGACCGGAUGCUCUAUGGCUUUUACUUUUUCACUUCCUGCCCGGCUCGAUCUGCUCUGUUGAAAUUGACGCGGUUCAGCAACGGUUCGCGUCAAAAAUAGAAGUGCUACGAAAUGGUAGCGCUGCGA